UACGUAGGGGGCAAGCGUUGUCCGGAAUCAUUGGGCGUAAAGAGCGUGUAGGCGGCUCGAUAAGUCUGCUGUGAAAGUCCAGGGCUCAACCCUGGAAGGCCGGUGGAAACUGUCGGGCUAGAGUCCGGAAGAGGCGAGUGGAAUUCCCGGUGUAGCGGUGAAAUGCGCAGAUAAUCGGGAGGAACACCAAUGGCGAAGGC
rnacentral:rRNA from 1 species